rnacentral:lncRNA from 1 species
AACAAUAUGGCAUCCGUGGUUCCAAAGUCGAUGGCGGUGAAGUCAAAUUAUUACAACACGAGAGGAUAUUUCCACUUCAAAGAGGAGGAUGGGUCGGUAGGUCUGGGGGAGGAGAGCGUGUUCAGCACGCUCGCCAAGGUGGAAGUGGAGCCCGCCAAAAGCAACACCAACUACGUCCACCUGCGAUUUUCCCAUUUCAACAGAUACUGGCAACGGAAAUCCGACGGCAGCUGGUUCAUCGCCGCCGAAUCCAACCAGCCCGAAGAAGACACCACCAACCCCUCGUGCACGCUCUUCGAGCCCAUCAAGGUGCCCGACGACGAUCCCGCCGGCGCCGGUUUCUUCUACUUGAUCCACGUCCAGAGCGGAGGCCGCCUGCUCAUAGACAACGACACCUUCGUCUUCUACGUCGAAUUCAAUCCCAAAAGUUACCAAGGCUAUCUAAGCGCUGCGGAUAUGGAUGCGCUGGUUAAGCUCCCUCCACUCGUCGCAUUCAAAGGACUCACCGGCUUCGUCAAAGGCUUCAGAGUCGACGUCCGCAACUUCCUGCAGGUCUCAUCCUACGAUCGCAACGAAGCCUUCUCGCGCCACCAGGUGAGGCUGAUGCCCGACGGACAUGUCCGAUUGCUCUGCGAAGGUUGGGGCCUGUGGUGGCGCCUCGGGGCCGACGACUGGAUCAUGGGCGAUGCCACCGACGAGAACGCGGCCGGGACUCUCUUCUGGCCGCUCAAAAUCGACGGCGCCACCAUCGCUCUUCAAAACCAAAGCAACGGCAAUUUCUGCCGCCGUCUCGUCGUCCCCGGCAGCGUCUUCACCGAUAGCCUGAGCGCGUCGGAAUCCGCUCCUUCGAGGCAGGCGGGACUGCAGGUGGAGGAGCUGGUGGCGGAGAGGAAGAUAUCCAACGUGAAAUUUCUGAUGGAAUACGCUCGCUAUUCGACUUGGAGCCUUACACGGCGUGGAAGUCCGAGAUUCCUAACGACACCGACCAGGAUGCUAACAUGGCGGUGGUGAUCACGUAUGAGGACUCGAGAAGUUACAGUUUUGGGCGGAGCUACACAUUUCCGGCGGGGGUGCCCACCACCAUCGAAGCCGACCUGCCAUUCGUUGGCCUAGGAGCUGCUAUUGCGCCAUCUGAUUAUCGGAUAAGUGCGCCGCUGCAGUGGAACGCCGCCAACACGAUGACGAGCACCGUUCAGGCUACGGGUUUUAUUCCGGUGCCGGCGAGGCAUAAGGCUGAGGUUCAAUAUUUGGGAACAAGAGCCACCUGCAGUAUUCCCUUCACCUACACUCAGUCUGACAAGAGCUCCGCCCCCACGCGGCGCAACCUCUGAAACUCUUCAGAUUGAUGGUAUUUACACUGCCGUCAGUUGUUUCCAAUUCAACUUUAACAUCAUAAAUUUUAAGGACCUUUAAACUAAGUCCAGGCGAGGGUUUUUUUCAUCAACUUCUUCCAACUUGCUUUUUUCCCUCCUAAUAAUAUGAAUGUAUCUUUGUUGUAUUGUUUUAUCCUCGUAAUAAUAUAUUUGGAGUGUGUUUGUUUUGAGGCAUGAGUAAGGAUAAGCUACAUUUACCACUUUAU